rnacentral:rRNA from 1 species
UUCCGGUUGAUCCCGCCGGAGGUUACUGCUWUCGGUGUUCGCCUAAGCCAUGCGAGUCAUAUGUAGCAAUACAUGGCGUACUGCUCAGUAACACGUGGAUAACCUGCCUUGGUCCGGCAUAACCCCGGGAAACUGGGGAUAAUUCCGGAUAACGCACAUAUGCUGGAAUGCUUUAUGCGUCAAAUGGAUUCGUCUGCCCAAGGAUGGGUCUGCGGCCUAUCAGGUAGUAGUGGGUGUAAUGUACCUACUAGCCGACAACGGGUACGGGUUGUGAGAGCAAGAGCCCGGAGAUGGAUUCUGAGACAUGAAUCCAGGCCCUACGGGGCGCAGCAGGCGCGAAAACUUUACAAUGCGGGAAACCGUGAUAAGGGGACACCGAGUGUCAGCAUCAUAUGCUGGCUGUCCAGGUGUGUAAAAUACACCUGUUAGCAAGGGCCGGGCAAGACCGGUGCCAGCCGCCGCGGUAACACCGGCGGCCCGAGUGGUGAUCGUGAUUAUUGGGUCUAAAGGGUCCGUAGCCGGUUUGGUCAGUCCUCCGGGAAAUCUGAUAGCUCAACUAUUAGGCUAUCGGGGGAUACUGCCAGGCUUGGAACCGGGAGAGGUAAGAGGUAUUACAGGGGUAGGAGUGAAAUCUUGUAAUCCCUGUGGGACCACCUGUGGCGAAGGCGUCUUACCAGAACGGGUUCGACGGUGAGGGACGAAAGCUGGGGGCACGAACCGGAUUAGAUACCCGGGUAGUCCCAGCCGUAAACGAUGCUCGCUAGGUGUCAGGCAUGGCGCGACCGUGUCUGGUGCCGCAGGGAAGCCGUGAAGCGAGCCACCUGGGAAGUACGGCCGCAAGGCUGAAACUUAAAGGAAUUGGCGGGGGAGCAC